rnacentral:rRNA from 1 species
UACGUAGGGGGCGAGCGUUGUCCGGAAUUAUUGGGCGUAAAGAGCGUGUAGGCGGUCCGUAAGUCCGCUGUGAAAGUCCAGGGCUCAACCCUGGAAUGCCGGUGGAUACUGCCGGGCUAGAGUCCGGAAGAGGCGAGUGGAAUUCCUGGUGUAGCGGUGAAAUGCGCAGAUAUCAGGAGGAACACCGAUGGCGAAGGCAGCUCGCUGGGACGGUACUGACGCUGAGACGCGAAAGCGUGGGGAGCGAACAGG